rnacentral:rRNA from 1 species
AUUGAACGCUGGCGGCAGGCCUAACACAUGCAAGUCGAACGAGUGGCGGACGGGUGAGUAAUGUCUGGGAAACUGCCCGAUGGAGGGGGAUAACUACUGGAAACGGUAGCUAAUACCGCAUACCAUCGGAUGUGCCCAGAUGGGAUUAGCUAGUAGGUGGGGUCACGGCUUACCUAGGCGACGAUCCCUAGCUGGGCUGAGAGGAUGAGCAGCCACACUGGAACUGAGACACGGCCCAGACUCCUACGGGAGGCAGCAGUGGGGAAUAUUGCACAAUGGGCGCAAGCCUGAUGCAGCCAUGCCGCGUGUAUGAAGAAGGCCUUAGGGUUGUAAAGUACUUUCAGCGAGGAGGCGUUACUCGCAGAAGAAGCACCGGCUAACUCCGUGCCAGCAGCCGCGGUAAUAC